GUCCUGAAGUUUGGCGUACGAGGGGACUUUGGGUGGAAGGUCAUGGAUGGUCACGCAGGAGUCAAGACUGUUGGAGUUCACCUUGUCCAGGAGUCGUCUCUCUGGAGGACUGAGGAGACUCUGCAGUACUCACAUGCAGUGCUGCUCCAUGGAAACCACCCAUCUCAUCACCUGCAUACGAUCUGCACCAGACCUCUCUGCACUGCACAAACACAGCUGGCUGCCAAAGAGACAUUCACCUCCUCCGUUAAAUGCUGUGAUACAGCCAGCAUGUUUUCAAGUAUCCAUGAAAAUUAAAGUUCUUUGGAUAAAUACA